rnacentral:rRNA from 1 species
UACGUAGGUGGCAAGCGUUGUCCGGAUUUACUGGGCGUAAAGAGCGCGCAGGCGGUCAUUCAAGUCGAGUGUGAAAGCCCCCGGCUCAACUGGGGAGGGUCACUCGAUACUGUUUGACUCGAAGGCGGGAGAGGGAAGUGGAAUUCCCGGUGUAGUGGUGAAAUGCGUAGAUAUCAGGAAGAACACCCGUGGCGAAGGCGGCUCUCUGGAACGCAACUGACGCUGAGACGCGAAAGCGUGGGGAGCAAACAGG